GACGAACGCUGGCGGCGUGCUUAACACAUGCAAGUCGAACGGAAAGGCCCUGCUUUUGUGGGGUGCUCGAGUGGCGAACGGGUGAGUAACACGUGAGUAACCUGCCCUUGUCUUUGGGAUAACUUCAGGAAACUGGGGCUAAUACCGGAUAGGAGCUCCUGCUGCAUGGUGGGGGUUGGAAAGUUUCGGCGGUUGGGGAUGGACUCGCGGCUUAUCAGCUGGUUGGUGGGGUAGUGGCUUACCAAGGCUUUGACGGGUAGCCGGCCUGGGAGGGUGACCGGCCACAUUGGGACUGAGGUACGGCCCAGACUCCUACGGGAGGCAGCAGUGGGGAAUAUUGCACAAUGGGCGGAAGCCUGAUGCAGCAACGCCGCGUGCGGGAUGACGGCCUUCGGGUUGUAAACCGCUUUCGCCUGUGACGAAGCGUGAGUGACGGUAAUGGGUAAAGAAGCACCGGCUAACUACGUG
rnacentral:rRNA from 1 species